AAUAUUCACUUUUAAUUCUUUCCACAAGGGAGGAAGGGCAUGGGUUUUGGAGCCAUUCAUAUAUGGUUUCAAAAUCUGACUCUGGCAUUUAUCUCUAAGAACUUGAGAAAUUUACUUAGUCCCUCUGAGAUUUGGUGUAUUCAGAAUGAAUAUGAUACUAACAGUACCUACAUCAUAAGUGUUACUUGAAUGGAGAUGUAUAAAGUGCAUUUUAAAUUCAUUUGUUUCCUUAACAUUUUCCCUUCAUUUCUUAUCUUUUCAGAGUUUCUUCUUCAAGGUCUCAAGGUCUGAAGCAUCCCACAGAAUGAUCCUACUGAAUAACUCCCAUAAGCUGCUGGCCCUAUACAAAUCCUUGGCCAGGAGCAUCCCUGAGUCCCUGAAGGUCAGGGAACAGUGGGAGGUCAGGGUAUGGGAGUAGGGGUGUUGAGGAUGAGAAAAUAGUAGGCUUGUGAUUCUAGUCCUUCCUGACUGUUUGCAGAGGGUUGGAGCUGGGAAACAGGAUGGGACUGGGGGCACAGGCUGCAUAUCAAGAGCUGCUGCUUCUCUUUGGGAAGAGGCAGCUAGGUCCACUCUGCAGGUUUUGCCACUCAUUUGGAGAGGCAGUGGAGCAUGGUGGCUAUGAACAUGGUUUGGAGCCUGUCUGAAUGGAUAUGCAUUCCAAGGCUGCCAUUUUCUAGUCAGAUGGCUUUGUGGAUGUUUCUUUCCCUUUCUCUGACUUUACGUUUGGUUUUUCCAUCAAUGAGAUGGGAAUAACGUUAGCACCUACCUCUUAAAGUUGCUAUGGACACUGAAUAAAUCUAUACAAUAUAAAUGCUAAGAGCAUUGCCAAGUGCCCAGCUAGUACACAGUAGCUCUUUGGUAUCACAAGGACAGUCCUACCUGUGAGUUCUGCCUGCUUGCUGGUAACUUCACGUCCAUCAGUAUGGUCCUCUCCAGGACCAUACUGCUCAUCUCACCAUCACUGACUUGGUCUCAGUACCUUCUCUUAAUCUCCAUUUUUAUCUUCCUCUUCACAACCAGAUCCUCAUCUCUGGGGAUCUCAACCUCUCCUGGUCCCUUUCAUCCCUCCUUCAGGUGUAUGGCUCUGUGUAUCACAUCAAUCACGGGAACCCCUUCAACAUGGAGGUGCUCGUGGAUUCCUGGCCUGAAUAUCAGAUGGUUAUUAUCCGGCCUCAAAAGCAGGAGAUGACUGAUGACAUGGAUUCAUACACAAACGUAUAUCGUAUGUUCUCCAAAGAGCCUCAAAAAUCAGAAGAAGUUUUGAAAAAUUGUGAGAUCGUAAACUGGAAACAGAGACUCCAAAUCCAAGGUUUUCAAGAAAGUUUAGGUGAGGGGAUAAGAGUGGCUACAUUUUCAAAGUCAGUGAAAGUAGAGCAUUCGAGAGCACUCCUCUUGGUUACGGAAGAUAUUCUGAAGCUCAAUGCCUCCAGUAAAAGCAAGCUUGGAAGCUGGGCUGAGACAGGCCACCCAGAUGAUGAAUUUGAAAGUGAAACUCCCAACUUUAAGUAUGCCCAGCUGGAUGUCUCUUAUUCUGGGCUGGUAAAUGACAACUGGAAGCGAGGGAAGAAUGAGAGGAGCCUGCAUUACAUCAAGCGCUGCAUAGAAGACCUGCCAGCAGCCUGUAUGCUCGGCCCAGAGGGAGUCCCGGUCUCAUGGGUAACCAUGGACCCUUCUUGUGAAGUAGGAAUGGCCUACAGCAUGGAAAAAUACCGAAGGACAGGCAACAUGGCACGAGUGAUGGUGCGAUACAUGAAAUAUCUGCGUCAGAAGAAUAUUCCAUUUUACAUCUCUGUGUUGGAAGAAAAUGAAGACUCCCGCAGAUUUGUGGGGCAGUUUGGUUUCUUUGAGGCCUCCUGUGAGUGGCACCAAUGGACCUGCUACCCACAGAAUCUAGUUCCAUUUUAGACAAUGAAGCUGCUUAGUAAUCUCUGCCAAGCCAUCUCUUAAUAUUAAAGCAGACACCACAGAAUAGAUUUCUUCACUUACAAAUGCAUAUUGGGCACUUAUAAUACAGCAGGAACUCUUCUCACCUGGAGCCUUGAUGUUAAAAGACACAGCCAUGCUCUUGAGGAGCUUACAAUCCUGGCUGGAGGCAGGGGAGGGUAUAUUCUUUAAAUAUGCUUAAGUGUUAUAGGGAAAGACGGGGUUACCAGUAAACAUGUAACUAGAAAGCCAGGCUCAGUUCUUACCUCUGGGAAUCAGAACUCUUUAUGCAACUUGGUUAAUAGAAUCUACUAUCUGGAAGAUAAAUGAAGGAUUUUAAUAAAAUUUUCAAUAGAAU
rnacentral:sRNA from 1 species